rnacentral:rRNA from 1 species
AGAGUUUGAUCCUGGCUCAGGACGAACGCUGGCGGCGUGCCUAAUACAUGCAAGUCGAGCGAGCUUGCCUAGAUGAUUUUAGUGCUUGCACUAAAUGAAACUAGAUACAAGCGAGCGGCGGACGGGUGAGUAACACGUGGGUAACCUGCCCAAGAGACUGGGAUAACACCUGGAAACAGAUGCUAAUACCGGAUAACAACACUAGACGCAUGUCUAGAGUUUGAAAGAUGGUUCUGCUAUCACUCUUGGAUGGACCUGCGGUGCAUUAGCUAGUUGGUAAGGUAACGGCUUACCAAGGCAAUGAUGCAUAGCCGAGUUGAGAGACUGAUCGGCCACAUUGGGACUGAGACACGGCCCAAACUCCUACGGGAGGCAGCAGUAGGGAAUCUUCCACAAUGGACGAAAGUCUGAUGGAGCAACGCCGCGCGAGUGAAGAAGGGUUUCGGCUCGUAAAGCUCUGUUGGUAGUGAAGAAAGAUAGAGGUAGUAACUGGCCUUUAUUUGACGGUAAUUACUUAGAAAGUCACGGCUAACUACGUGCCAGCAGCCGCGGUAAUACGUAGGUGGCAAGCGUUGUCCGGAUUUAUUGGGCGUAAAGCGAGUGCAGGCGGUUCAAUAAGUCUGAUGUGAAAGCCUUCGGCUCAACCGGAGAAUUGCAUCAGAAACUGUUGAACUUGAGUGCAGAAGAGGAGAGUGGAACUCCAUGUGUAGCGGUGGAAUGCGUAGAUAUAUGGAAGAACACCAGUGGCGAAGGCGGCUCUCUGGUCUGCAACUGACGCUGAGGCUCGAAAGCAUGGGUAGCGAACAGGAUUAGAUACCCUGGUAGUCCAUGCCGUAAACGAUGAGUGCUAAGUGUUGGGAGGUUUCCGCCUCUCAGUGCUGCAGCUAACGCA